GUACACGCUGUGACUAGCAUAUCAAUAAGCGGAGGAAAAGAAACUAACAAGGAUUCCCCUAGUAACGGCGAGUGAAGCGGGAAGAGCUCAAAUUUGAAAUCUUAAAGGGUUUCCCUUUACGAAUUGUAGUUUAAAGAAGUGUUUUCUGUUGAGGUUUUGGUAAAAGUUCUUUGGAAUAGGACAUCAUAGAGGGUGAGAAUCCCGUAUUUGACCUUUACUUUCAACUUUGUGAUACACUUUCAAAGAGUCGGAUUGUUUGGGAAUGCAGUCCAAAAUGGGUGGUAAACUUCAUCUAAAGCUAAAUAUUGGCGAGAGACCGAUAGCGAACAUGUACCGUGAGGGAAAGAUGAAAAGAACUUUGAAAAGAGAGUUAAACAGUACGUGAAAUUGUCAAAAGGGAAGCGUUUGACACCAGUGUUGUUUUUCUGAAAAUCAAUUCAAAGAACUGUUUAUGCUAAGCUUGUUUAGACUUUAUCAGCUAUCUGUUUAGUUUUGAGCUUUUCUUUAAUGCACUUUUCAGUUAACAAGUCAACAUCAAUUUCUUUUGCUGUAAAAAAGCUUGAGGAAGGUGGCUUGAGAUUCGUCUUAAGUGUUUAUAGCCUCUUGCCUAUGCAGUCGGAGAGAUUGAGGUCUGCAGCGUAGAUCCUUCGGGGCUAGAUGCAUUUGUGCUAAGUUAUAGCAUUUUAUAGACAACUUGUUGACUAUGACUUCGUCUUGUAGCUUACUCGCUUAUGUUAUUUUACCUACGCUUAGGAUGUUGAAGAUGUAGCACAUCAU
rnacentral:rRNA from 1 species